UAUUGACCGUUCUCCGUCGCUGUGUUUCAGGGUUUAUUAGGACCGCCAGGGCUCCCCGGUAACGAUGGACAAAAGGGAGAUAUCGGAACCUCAGGAAUGAGCGGUGUCGACGGCUCCAAGGGCGAAAUUGGAGAGCAAGGUGAAAAGGGCGACAUGGGAGAGACGGAAUGAAGGGUGACGGCGGGGAAAAGGUUUGUCCACUCACCGUCCUCACCUUCCUCUCUACUCUCUCCCUCCCUCUUUCAUGACACACACACAUGGCUGCUCCUGAGUACCACAGGAGCUGGAUCCCC